rnacentral:rRNA from 1 species
GUUAAGCGACUAAGCGUACACGGUGGAUGCCCUGGCAGUCAGAGGCGAUGAAGGACGUGCUAAUCUGCGAUAAGCGUCGGUAAGGUGAUAUGAACCGUUAUAACCGGCGAUUUCCGAAUGGGGAAACCCAGUGUGUUUCGACACACUAUCAUUAACUGAAUCCAUAGGUUAAUGAGGCGAACCGGGGGAACUGAAACAUCUAAGUACCCCGAGGAAAAGAAAUCAACCGAGAUUCCCCCAGUAGCGGCGAGCGAACGGGGAGCAGCCCAGAGCCUGAAUCAGUGUGUGUGUUAGUGGAAGCGUCUGGAAAGGCGCGCGAUACAGGGUGACAGCCCCGUACACAAAAAUGCACAUGCUGUGAGCUCGAUGAGUAGGGCGGGACACGUGGUAUCCUGUCUGAAUAUGGGGGGACCAUCCUCCAAGGCUAAAUACUCCUGACUGACCGAUAGUGAACCAGUACCGUGAGGGAAAGGCGAAAAGAACCCCGGCGAGGGGAGUGAAAAAGAACCUGAAACCGUGUACGUACAAGCAGUGGGAGCACGCUUAGGCGUGUGACUGCGUACCUUUUGUAUAAUGGGUCAGCGACUUAUAUUCUGUAGCAAGGUUAACCGAAUAGGGGAGCCGAAGGGAAACCGAGUCUUAACUGGGCGUUAAGUUGCAGGGUAUAGACCCGAAACCCGGUGAUCUAGCCAUGGGCAGGUUGAAGGUUGGGUAACACUAACUGGAGGACCGAACCGACUAAUGUUGAAAAAUUAGCGGAUGACUUGUGGCUGGGGGUGAAAGGCCAAUCAAAC